UACGGAGGGUGCAAGCGUUAUCCGGAUUCACUGGGUUUAAAGGGUGCGUAGGUGGGCAGGUAAGUCAGUGGUGAAAUCUCCGGGCUCAACUCGGAAACUGCCAUUGAUACUAUCUGUCUUGAAUACCGUGGAGGUCAGCGGAAUAUGUCAUGUAGCGGUGAAAUGCUUAGAUAUGACAUAGAACACCAAUUGCGAAGGCAGCUGGCUACACGAAUAUUGACACUGAUGCACGAAAGCGUGGGGAUCAAACAGG
rnacentral:rRNA from 1 species